rnacentral:rRNA from 1 species
UACGGAGGGUGCGAGCGUUAAUCGGAAUUACUGGGCGUAAAGCGUGCGUAGACGGUUAUUUAAGUCGGGUGUGAAAGCCCCGGGCUCAACCUGGGAAUUGCAUUCGAGACUGAAUAGCUAGGGUGCGGUAGAGGGAAGCGGAAUUUCCGGUGUAGCGGUAGAAAUGCGUAGAUAAUCGGAAGGAACAUCAGUGGCGAAAGCGGCUUCCUGGACCAGCACCGACGUCAGGCACGAAAGCGUGGGGAGCAAACAGG